rnacentral:rRNA from 1 species
CCUACGGGAGGCAGCAGUGAGGAAUAUUGGUCAAUGGACGAGAGUCUGAACCAGCCAAGUAGCGUGAAGGAUGACUGCCCUAUGGGUUGUAAACUUCUUUUAUAUGGGAAUAAAACAGGGUAUGCAUACCCUCUUGUAUGUACCAUAUGAAUAAGGAUCGGCUAACUCCGUGCCAGCAGCCGCGGUAAUACGGAGGAUCCGAGCGUUAUCCGGAUUUAUUGGGUUUAAAGGGAGCGUAGGUGGAUUGUUAAGUCAGUUGUGAAAGUUUGCGGCUCAACCGUAAAAUUGCAGUUGAAACUGGCAGUCGUGAGUACAGUAGAGGUGGGCGGAAUUCGUGGUGUAGCGGUGAAAUGCUUAGAGAUCACGCAGAACUCCGAUUGCGAAGGCAGCUUACUAAGCCAUAACUGACACUGAAGCACGAAAGCGUGGGGAUCAAACAGGAUUAGAUACCCCUGUAGUC